rnacentral:rRNA from 1 species
AUGAAAAUUAAUGUGGAUGCUGCAGUGGGCAGAGGGGGGCGACAUGGAGCAGUCGCGGCGAUCUGUCGAAGCAAUGAUGGUUCUUUUCCAGGUGCAUCAUCGAUAGUAUUCACAAACCAAGGCGAUCCGGCUACCCUCGAAGCAAUGGCGAUCAGGGAAGGUUUGGCGUUAGCCCAAGAUUUGAAUGUGCACCGAAUACAUCUAGCGUCGGAUUGCCAAGGCGUGGUGGCUGAGAUCAAAUCUGGGAGUGGAUCGGCUUAUGGUGCUAUCAUAGAGGAAAUUAAGUUAUCUAUUCCUUCUUUUAUUUCAUGUAACAUAGUUCAUGAGUUUAGGAGCUCCAAUAAGGAGGCUCACAAUCUAGCGAAGCAUGCAUUAAGGUUAGGGCCUGGGCGUCAUGUAUGGCUGGGCCAUCCGGAAGGUCUUUCUUUCGUCCCUGUAAACAUUGUGACGGGUUGA